rnacentral:rRNA from 1 species
CAGCAGUAGCCGCGGGAAUACGGAGGGUGCAAGCGUUAAUCGGAAUUACUGGGCGUAAAGCGCACGCAGGCGGUCUGACAAGUCAGAUGUGAAAUCCCCGGGCUUAACCUGGGAACUGCAUUUGAAACUGUCAGGCUGGAGUCUUGUAGAGGGGGGUGGAAUUCCAGGUGUAGCGGUGAAAUGCGUAGAGAUCUGGAGGAAUACCGGUGGCGAAGGCGGCCCCCUGGACAAAGACUGACGCUCAGGUGCGAAAGCGUGGGGAGCAAACAGGAUUAGAUACCCCUGUAGUCCCUGUCUCUUAUAU